rnacentral:rRNA from 1 species
GACGAACGCUGGCGGCGUGCCUAAUACAUGCAAGUCGAACGCUGAAGGAGGAGCUUGCUUCUCUGGAUGAGUUGCGAACGGGUGAGUAACGCGUAGGUAACCUGCCUGGUAGCGGGGGAUAACUAUUGGAAACGAUAGCUAAUACCGCAUAAGAGUAGAUGUUGCAUGACAUUUGCUUAAAAGGUGCAAUUGCAUCACUACCAGAUGGACCUGCGUUGUAUUAGCUAGUUGGUGGGGUAACGGCUUACCAAGGCGACGAUACAUAGCCGACCUGAGAGGGUGAUCGGCCACACUGGGACUGAGACACGGCCCAGACUCCUACGGGAGGCAGCAGUAGGGAAUCUUCGGCAAUGGACGGAAGUCUGACCGAGCAACGCCGCGUGAGUGAAGAAGGGUUUCGGAUCGUAAAGCUCGGUUGUAAGAGAAGAACGAGUGUGAGAGUGGAAAGUUCACACUGUGACGGUAUCUUACCAGAAAGGGACGGCUAACUACGUG